rnacentral:rRNA from 1 species
GGAGUCUGGGCCGUGUCUCAGUCCCAAUGUGGCCGUUCAACCUCUCAGUCCGGCUACUGAUCGUCGACUUGGUGAGCCGUUACCUCACCAACUAUCUAAUCAGACGCGAGCCCAUCUUUGAGUGAUAAAUCUUUGAUAAUCAAAGGAUGCCCUUCAAUUAUGUUAUGAGGUAUUACCAUCCGUUUCCAGAAGCUAUCCCUCUCUCAAAGGCAGGUUGCUCACGUGUUACUCACCCGUCCGCCACUAAGAUAAUCCAAGUAAACUCAAAUUAUCUCCGUUCGACUUGCAUGUGUUAAGCGUGCCGCCAGCGUUCGUC